CCCUUAGAUGUCCGGGGCCGCACGCGCGCUACACUGAAGGAAUCAGCGUGGCUUUCUCCCUGACCCGAAAGGGUUGGGAAACCCGUUGAAUCUCCUUCGUGAUAGGGAUUGGGGCUUGAAAUUGUUCCCCAUGAACGAGGAAUUCCCAGUAAGCGCGAGUCAUAAGCUCGCGUUGAUUACGUCCCUGCCCUUUGUACACACCGCCCGUCGCUACUACCGAUUGAGUGGUCCGGUGAGGCUUUGGGAUCUGAGCGGAAAGAGCGUUUCGCUGUUUCUGCUCGGAAAACUCAGUCGAACCUUAUCAUUUAGAGGAAGGAGAAGUCGUAACA
rnacentral:rRNA from 1 species